CGCCCUUAGAGUUUGAUCAUGGCUCAGAGUGAACGCUGGCGGUAGGCCUAACACAUGCAAGUCGAACGGCAGCACAGGAGAGCUUGCUCUCUGGGUGGCGAGUGGCGGACGGGUGAGGAAUACAUCGGAAUCUACCUUUUCGUGGGGGAUAACGUAGGGAAACUUACGCUAAUACCGCAUAAGACCUUCGGGUGAAAGCCGGGGACCUUCGGGCCUGGCGCGGAUAGAUGAGCCGAUGUCGGAUUAGCUUGUUGGCGGGGUAAAAGCCCACCAAGGCGACGAUCCGUAGCUGGUCUGAGAGGAUGAUCAGCCACACUGGAACUGAGACACGGUCCAGACUCCUACGGGAGGCAGCAGUGGGGAAUAUUGGACAAUGGGCGCAAGCCUGAUCCAGCCAUACCGCGUGGGUGAAGAAGGCCUUCGGGUUGUAAAGCCCUUUUGUUGGGAAAGAAAUCCUGCCGGUUAAUAACCAGUAGGGAUGACGGUACCCAAAGAAUAAGCACCGGCUAACUUCGUGCCAGCAGCCGCGGUAAUACGAAGGGUGCAAGCGUUACUCGGAAUUACUGGGCGUAAAGCGUGCGUAGGUGGUUGUUUAAGUCUGUCGUGAAAGCCCCGGGCUCAACCUGGGAAUUGCUUCUAA
rnacentral:rRNA from 1 species